UACAGAGGGUGCGAGCGUUAAUCGGAAUUAUUGGGCGUAAAGCGCACGUAGGUGGUUUAUCAAGUCAGAUGUGAAAGCCCUGGGCUCAACCUGGGAACUGCAUUUGAGACUGGUCGACUAGAGUAUGGGAGAGGGAAGUGGAAUUUCCGGUGUAGCGGUGAAAUGCGUAGAUAUCGGAAGGAACACCAGUGGCGAAGGCGACUUCCUGGCCUAAUACUGACACUGAGGAGCGAAAGCGUGGGUAGCGAACAGG
rnacentral:rRNA from 1 species